rnacentral:rRNA from 1 species
AGCAGCAGCGGUAAUACGGAGGGUGCAAGCGUUAUCCGGAAUCAUUGGGUUUAAAGGGUCCGCAGGCGGUCAAUUAAGUCAGAGGUGAAAUCCCAUAGCUUAACUAUGGAACUGCCUUUGAUACUGGUUGACUUGAGUUAUACGGAAGUAGAUAUUCGGUGGAACACCAGUGGCGAAGGCGGCUAACUGGACUGGUACUGACGCUGAGGUGCGAAAGUGUGGGUAGCGAACAGGAUUAGAUACCCUGGUAGUCCACACCGUAAACGCUGUCUACUAGCUGUUUGUGGAUUUAAUCCGUGAGUAGCGAAGCUAACGCGAUAAGUAGACCGCCUGGGGAGUACGGCCGCAAGGUUAAAACUCAAAUGAAUUGACGGGGGCCCGCACAAGCGGUGGAGCAUGUGGUUUAAUUCGAUGCAACGCGAAGAACCUUACCUACUCUUGACAUACUAGAAACUUUUCAGAGAUGAAUUGGUGCCUUCGGGAAUCUAGAUACAGGUGCUGCAUGGCU